rnacentral:lncRNA from 1 species
CACGUUAAAAAGCAAGCUGUCAUGAAAGUUACCAAGUAGCCCUCAUUCCAGCCGAAGGGUAACCCAAAGAGAUGGACUGGGAGCUCUCCUGCUAAUGAUUGAUUCAGACUGGAUGGUGGCUUUUUAUAGAAUAAAGGCUAACGGCUAAUAGCUGGAAGGGGAAGGAAGUGGAAGGCGGGACUUCCUGGCAGGGAGAACAGAACUCUGAGAAGAAGAAGAAGAAAGAGGAAGGGCUUUCACCAGGAGACAUAAGAGGAGACAAAUGUGACUCUGGGUCUGAAGGAGGUCAAAGCUCCACUUGUAAGAAUUGUAAAACAACAACUUGCAGAA